rnacentral:rRNA from 1 species
UUACGGGAGGCAGCAGUGGGGAAUCUUGCGCAAUGGGCGAAAGCCUGACGCAGCAACGCCGCGUGCGGGAUGAAGGCUCUCGGGUCGUAAACCGCUUUCAGCAGGGACGAAAACAGACUGUACCUGCAGAAGAAGCCCCGGCUAAAUACGUGCCAGCAGCCGCGGUAAUACGUAUGGGGCUAGCGUUAUCCGGAUUCAUUGGGCGUAAAGAGCGCGUAGGCGGCUUGUUAAGUCAGAUGUGAAAACCGUGGGCUUAACCUACGGCCUGCAUCUGAAACUGGCAGGCUUGAGUCUGGUAGAGGAAAGUGGAAUUCCCAGUGUAGCGGUGAAAUGCGCAGAUAUUGGGAGGAACACCAGUGGCGAAGGCGGCUUUCUGGGCCACGACUGACGCUGAGGCGCGAAAGCUAGGGGAGCAAACAGGAUUAGAUACCCCGGUAGUCC